CCGAAUGGGGCAACCCAGCAUGUUGAAGACAUGUUACCCGUAAGGGGGCAAACCCGGUGAACUGAAACAUCUAAGUAACCGGAGGAAGAGAAAACAAUAGUGAUUCCGUUAGUAGUGGCGAGCGAACGCGGAUUAGCCCAAACCAAUGUUGUUACGGCAGUAUUGGGGUUGUAGGGCUGCGACAUUAGAAUCUAAGUGAACUAGAAUUGUCUGGAAAGACAAACCCAAGAGAGUGAUAGUCUCGUAUAGGUAAGCGAAGAAGAUAUAGCAGUACCCUGAGUAGUGCGGGACACGAGUAAUCCUGUAUGAAUCCACCGGGACCAUCCGGUAAGGCUAAAUACUCCGAA
rnacentral:rRNA from 1 species